UACGGGGGGGCAAGCGUUGUUCGGAAUUACUGGGCGUAAAGGGCUCGUAGGCGGCCAACUAAGUCGGACGUGAAAUCCCUCGGCUUAACCGAGGAACUGCGUCCGAUACUGGAUGGCUUGAGUUCGGGAGAGGGAUGCGGAAUUCCAGGUGUAGCGGUGAAAUGCGCAGAUAUCAGGAGGAACACCGAUGGCGAAGGCAGCUCGCUGGGACGGUACUGACGCUGAGACGCGAAAGCGUGGGGAGCAAACAGG
rnacentral:rRNA from 1 species